UAGGGUUGGGUUAGGGGUAGGGUUAGGGUUGGGUUAGGGAUAGGAGUAGAGUUAGGGUAGGGUAUGGUUAGGAGUAGGGUUAGGGUUGGGUUACCCCUACCCUGACCCUACUCCUGACCCUACCAUAACCCUACCCUAGCCCUACUCCUAACCCUACCCUUCACCCUACCCUAACCCUACUCCUAACCCAACCCUAACCUAACCCAACCCUAAUCCUAAUCCUAACUUAACCCUAAGCCUACCCUAACCCUACCCUAACUCUAACCCUACCC